CCGGGUCGGGUCACCGCGCCGGUUAUUGAAGUUGGAUGAUUAAUACGGCACCGUUUUAAGGCCACUGAAACAGGCCCUAAACGGUGCCGUUUUAUGCACUAUAUAAAUCACCUCUUAAGCCUCAGAUCAGAACCCUAGGCCAGCUUAAACACCAACCCCCCAAAGCCACCCCUUUUUUGCGCCGCUUCACAAUCGAACCCCCCCCCCCCCCAAAUUCAUUCCGAUCUGAACGGAGGAGGGCUUUGGCGACGCACCAACUCAGAAACCAAGAAAAAAGGGAUCCCUUCACAAAUUCGAAAACGGCCUUAUAUAGCCGGAAAUAAAAUAGAAAUUUAUAGGUAAUUUUUCUAAAUUUCUGUUAUUUUUCUCUGCUAUCCCUGUGUAUCUGCUGCUGUUGCUGCCUUUGUUGCGUUGCAGGUACGAGUACAGAAGUCGUACGGAGGCCAGCUGGAGGCUUGUGGUGGCGCACGUGCGUGAGGUGCGCGUGGCUAGGGAGAGGAGGCCAUUGUUGCGGCGGCUGGAGGGAAGUGAUGCUAAAGGGCUAGGGUUUCUGCAAUCGGGUUGGGGAUUUGGGCUGUAAUGGGUUUGUAAUUUGGGCCAUGCUUAGGUUUGAAUUUGGGCUUCUGUUAAUUGGACUGUUUAAUAAAACUGUGGUAUUUGGUUUUUUUAUUA